UACGUAGGGUGCGAGCGUUGUCCGGAAUUAUUGGGCGUAAAGAGCUCGUAGGCGGUUUGUUGCGUCGGCUGUGAAAUCCCGAGGCUCAACCUCGGGUCUGCAGUCGAUACGAGCAAACUAGAGUGUUGCAGGGGAGACUGGAAUUCCAGGUGUAGCGGUGAAAUGCGUAGAUAUCUGGAGGAACACCGGUGGCGAAGGCGGCAUCCUGGACCGGUAUUGACGCUGAGGCGCGAAAGCCAGGGGAGCAAACGGG
rnacentral:rRNA from 1 species